CUAUUUAAAAGGUUUGAGGACCCCUGGCUGCAAGACAAUCAACUAACCUCUAGAGCUCCAGUUGCCUCUGGAGGGGAAUCUUUUUUUUUUUUUUUUUUUUUUUAAACUAGUGAUUACAUAACAUAACUGCUGGUGGGAAGUGAGUGUUGGAACCCCCACUUUUACAGAUAAUAAAACAGAAGCAUAUUUACUUGACUCAGCUAAGAGCACGUGGUCAUUUAAUGGCCAAGCUGGGAUUAGAACUCUGGCUGAACUGCCAUCCAUUUGCCUGACUCAAGCUGCAGGACCACAGGGAAGAGCUUGGAGAUGAGCGCCAGAUGAUUCAGUUCCUCUCUUUAACACUCUUCCCCUUUCCCCCCAACUUCUGAGGAAACAUCAGAUCCUAUACCACCAGGCUAGUUCUGAGAGAGGCCCUGGAAUCCAAGUUCUUCCCCUCAGCCAUGAGGUCAUGAAGACCCAGAGAAGCCUCCCAAACACUGAGCUAUCUCUGAUAAUGCUUGGGUCGGUCUCAUUAUGGUCACCCUGGAAAGUAUCCUGCUGAGGGUCCUCUUCACUUCCAAAAAGCAAACCAUCAUCACCUUGAACUUGGACAACCGUAAUAGCUGCUCAAGUGUCGGCUCACUCCAAUCCAUCCUCCAUUCAGCCACCAAAGUGAUAUUCCUACAGCACAGAUGUUUGACAACAUGGCUAAAAAGCAUGGAAGUAAGCCCACAGCCUUGUUUCCCUCCACUGGUGACUGGGAAAGCUCCAGAGCACUGUGCAUCAUCCAAGAACCCGGAAGGCCUGUCGGCAUGAAGUGAACCUGUCCCGGUCAGACCUAUAGAUGUUGUGCGCAGACCUCUCUUCUGCUCCUGGCAAUAACCCUGAAGGCUGCUUAUGGACCAGGACCUGUGGUGCAUCAGCUACCGAGUGCUGACGGCGCCACACUGAUCAGUGAUAAGGAUGUGAUCCUAGAGAGAUGGGCUGAACACUUUCAGUCUUCUCAACAGAUGGUCAUCAGCUAAUGCUGAAGCUAUAGGCCAUUUACCUCAAGUUGAAAUCAAUCCCUCCCUUGCUAAGGUUCCAGCUGAAGAAGGUUUUGAACGCCAUUUGGCUAUUUUCAUGUGGUAAAACCAUGCAUGCCGAUUCUGUUCCAGCUGAUAUUUACAAGGUGGAGGAGCCAAUUGUUUUUAUAAAAGCUGACUGAAAUAAUUCAGAUUGUUCUGUAAGAAAUGACCAGCAGGAUGAUUUCAGAUUAUAUGGCAAGAGGAGAUUAUACCCCAGAAGUUCAAAGCUGCCUCCAUUGCCCAUCUUUAUAAAGAUAAACGGAAUAGAUUGUCCUAUGACAAUCACAAAGGGGCAGUGUCUCUCUCUCAGUCAUUGCUUGCAAGAUUUUUGCCAGUCCUAUUUAAUAGACUAACCAUACACCUGGAAAAAAGGUCAUCUACUUGAGAGCCAGUAUGGCUUCAGAAGAGGCUGAGGAACAGUCUAAUUGUGUUUGCUGCCCAUCAACGUAAGGACAGAUCAGUGGAGGAAGUGUGGUGUGUGAUUCUUUGUUUGCAGAUGAUUGUGUAUUCAACAGACCCUCCAAAGCUGAGA